rnacentral:lncRNA from 1 species
UUUGAUUUCUGACUUUUGAUUCCUUAUAUUGGCUUGUUAAUACAUGAUCUUGGCUUAGUUUGUCACUCCCUCUCACUCUAAGUCCCGAAAUUGAAGAGAGAGAAGGGACUUGGAGCAAAUGAGAAGUAAAGUAAGCAUUUUUCUCUCUCUUUAAUCUAUAUAUAAUUGAUACAUUGUAUCUAACCUAGCAAGCUGGCACAAAAUGGGCUGAGAUAUCUGAUGUUUUAGAGCACAUGGUCAAUAUAUUAGGUCACCAACUCAUUAUUUUGGCAAGAUUUGAAUACUACCUAAAUAAAGAAUACAAAAAGGGUAUUCUAGACAUUUUACUAUCCAUUUUAAUGGCAUA